GACGAACGCUGGCGGCGUGCCUAAUACAUGCAAGUCGAGCGAGCAAUUUUAGCAGAAUACCUUCGGGUAGGAAGCUAAGAGCGCGAGCGGCGGAUGGGUGAGUAACACGUGGGCAACCUACCCUUUAGCUGGGGAUACCACUUGGAAACAGGUGCUAAUACCGAAUAAGAAGCAAGAGCGCAUGCUCAAGCUAUGAAAGGCGGCUUUAAGCUGUCACUAAAGGAUGGGCCCGCGGUGCAUUAGCUAGUUGGUAAGGUAACGGCUUACCAAGGCGAUGAUGCAUAGCCGAGUUGAGAGACUGAACGGCCACAUUGGGACUGAGACACGGCCCAAACUCCUACGGGAGGCAGCAGUAGGGAAUCUUCCACAAUGGACGCAAGUCUGAUGGAGCAACGCCGCGUGAGUGAAGAAGGUUUUCGGAUCGUAAAGCUCUGUUGUUGGUGAAGAAGGAUAAGGAUAGUAACUGAUUCAUAUUUGACGGUAAUCAACCAGAAAGUCACGGCUAACAACGUGCCAGCAGCCGCCGUAA
rnacentral:rRNA from 1 species